rnacentral:rRNA from 1 species
AGGACCCUACGGGAGGCAGCAGUGAGGAAUAUUGGUCAAUGGGCGGGAGCCUGAACCAGCCAAGCCGCGUGAGGGAAGAAGGUACAGCGUAUCGUAAACCUCUUUUGUCAGGGAACAAAGGCGGGGACUAGUCCCCGGAUGAGGGUACCUGAAGAAAAAGCAUCGGCUAACUCCGUGCCAGCAGCCGCGGUAAUACGGAGGAUGCGAGCGUUAUCCGGAUUUAUUGGGUUUAAAGGGUGCGUAGGCGGUCCGUUAAGUCAGCGGUAAAAUUGCGGGGCUCAACCCUGUCGAGCCGUUGAAACUGG